rnacentral:rRNA from 1 species
UACAGAGGUCCCGAGCGUUGUUCGGAUUCACUGGGUUUAAAGGGUGCGUAGGUGGGUUGGUAAGUCCGUGGUGAAAUCUCCGAGCUUAACUCGGAAACUGCCGUGGAUACUAUCAAUCUUGAAUACUGUGGAGGUAAGCGGAAUAUGUCAUGUAGCGGUGAAAUGCUUAGAUAUGACAUAGAACACCGAUAGCGAAGGCAGCUUGCUACACAGUUAUUGACACUGAGGCACGAAAGCGUGGGGAGCAAACAGG